CCCUCCACCUCCUGGACAGCUCACUAAGAAUGCAGCUUCACAAUGGAUGUGAAGCUGCAUUCUUAGUGAGCUGUCCAGGAGGUGGGAGG